AUGCCGCGUGCAGGAUGACGGCCCUAUGGGCUGUAAACUGCUUUUAUAUAGGAAGAAACCUUUUCACGUGUGAGAAGCUGACGGUACUAUAAGAAUAAGGACCGGCUAACUCCGUGCCAGCAGCCGCGGUAAUACGGAGGGUCCGAGCGUUAUCCGGAAUCAUUGGGUUUAAAGGGUCCGUAGGCGGGAAUCUAAGUCAGUGGUGAAAUCUUGCAGCUCAACUGUAAAAUUGCCAUUGAUACUGGAUUUCUUGAAUUAGUGUGAAGUGGUUAGAAUAUGUAGUGUAGCGGUGAAAUGCAUAGAUAUUACAUAGAAUACCAAUUGCGAAGGCAGAUUACUAAUAAUUAACUGACACUGAUGGACGAAAGCGUGGGUAGCGAACAGGAUUAGAUACCCUGGUAGUCCACGCCGUAAACGAUGGUUACUAGCUGUUUGGACUUCGGUCUGAGUGGCUAAGCGAAAGUGAUAAGUAACCCACCUGGGGAGUACGUUCGCAAGAAUGAAACUCAAAGGAAUUGACGGGGGCCCGCACAAGCGGUGGAGCAUGUGGUUUAAUUCGAUGAUACGCGAGGAACCUUACCAGGGCUUAAAUGUAAGUUGCAUUAGCUAGAGAUAGCUAUUUCUUCGGACCACUUACAAGGUGCUGCAUGGUUGUCGUCAGCUCGUGCCGUGAGGUGUCAGGUUAAGUCCUAUAACGAGCGCAACCCCUGUUGUUAGUUGCCAGCGAGUCAUGUCGGGAACUCUAACAAGACUGCCAGUGCAAACUGUGAGGAAGGUGGGGAUGACGUCAAAUCAUCACGGCCCUUACGUCCUGGGCUACACACGUGCUACAAUGGUCGGUACAGAGAGCAGCCACUACGCGAGUAGGAGCGAAUCUUCAAAGCCGAUCACAGUUCGGAUCGGAGUCU
rnacentral:rRNA from 1 species